UACGUAGGGACCAAGCGUUGUUCGGAAUCACUGGGCGUAAAGGGUGCGUAGGUGGCGUGGAGAGUCAGAUGUGAAAGCCCGGGGCUCAACCUCGGAAUUGCAUCCGAUACUACCAUGCUAGAGUACUGAAGAGGUGACUAGAAUUCUCGGUGUAGCAGUGAAAUGCGUAGAUAUCGAGAGGAAUACCAACGGCGAAGGCAGGUCACUGGGCAGUUACUGACACUGAGGCACGAAGGCCAGGGGAGCAAACGGG
rnacentral:rRNA from 1 species